rnacentral:lncRNA from 1 species
UUAUGAUUCGAUUGGGGUCCCUGUGCAUUCAAAAUGGCGCCACAACAACACGAGUUGAAGUAUUUCAAUAUAGUUUAUAAAUUUGUGGCUUUUGGUACAUGGAAAGUUUACACUGUUCUUUACAUCUGUAAAAUGCGAAAUCUUCGUUUCGAAUUUUAUUGUUUCGUUUCGUUUCGUUUCGUGGUUUAUGGUAAGCCCUAUUUUCCUGUAACGUCAGGAUUGUACAUGAUAUCCAUUGCAGUGGCCCAGAGUGGCCCAGGUUCUACCUUUGGAUGCCAUUAAUUCUAAUGAUGGAACACUUUGUUGCCAGCAUUGUAGACUGUCCAGUUUUGUCCAUGCUUGUGAAAGCUGAGCUGAGUUGGAGUCUUGUGGCAUAUAGGGUGAGAAAGGGCAUCCUAGGGUAUGGUAACAUUACAGGCACAUUGCCAAUAUAUAGAAAUAAGACUUAAAGAGAGACUUCAAAAUGUUGGAAAUACAUAUAAACAAAGGGUCCCAAAACUUGGGCAUACCAAUCUCUUUUCACACCCAAACGCCCUCUGUUAGAUAUAAUUUGUGAACAGUCCCAAAGUGUCUAGAAUAUUAGAUUAAUUUACAGUUUUUAUAAUCUCAUAAAUUUAGAUAUGUAGUCAAAGAAACAGACAGAUAUUAAUUUUUCAGGGGUUUAUUUCUUAUUGUCUUACACUUUAGUGCAUUAUAAUUAUUAUAUACAUGUAUAUCUAUUGGUGGAUAUGUACAAUAUUAUGAGCAACUGGACUAAAAUUGUCAUUUGAAUGGUCAGUAAUAUUUUUGGCAGGUUGGCAGAUUAUUUUUAGCAUCGCAAUGUCAGUGUUCAUAAGAAUGACAUAUCCCACUAUAUAUAUAUCUACAGUAUAUGUACAUCAAACUGUUUGGUUUUUACACAUUAGCUGAAUAAUAUCCGUUGUUUACAAAACAUUUCACUUGGCAAAAGUUCGACUUGUGGACUGCAUGGGCCUAAGUGUUUGAAAACAAUACUAACUUUACUUUGUUAGCACCUAUAUAUUUACCCUGCGAGCAGAGGGGUUUUAAAAAAAUCCCUCUGCUUGCAGGGUACUAUCUAUUCAGCUGUAGUUGGUACAUAUAAAAUACUAAAUUCAAUAAAGUCAGUUUUUGUUUUGUUUCCUAUUUUUUUCAGUGGUCUCAACUUUUUGGUGACUAUAGCUCUUAGGACCUAAUCCAUGUGUCACAAUGUUUUCCCAACUCAGUGCAUGACAAACCUCUAAGGUCUGAUUCAAUUUUUGUUUGUUUUUACUCUUCAAAAACUUUGUAAGUAUCCUAAGGGAGUCAUGGGAUAACAUCAGACAAGAGUUUCAACACAAUAGGUAAUCAUUCCUCAAGGGGUUUGUUUUGCCUAAAUUGGGAAAACAUCGUUACACCAUGGAUUUGGUCUAUUAUUGAAAGAAGUAUAUAUAUAUAUAGACUGUUGAUGAAGAUACAGUACUUUGAAUUCUUUAAUUCAUUACAGUGAAGUCACUAAACCUGUGCAAUAGAUAUUAGACUAAUACACUUUAAUAUAUAGUAGACCCUAAUUCCAUUGUUUUCUUUUGUGUCUAUUAUUGGACUAUUACACUUUAACAAGCAAUUUUUAUUUCACAGGUUUAGUGACUUCACCCUAACAAUUCGUAUGUUGCUAGAUUUAGCAAGCACUUAUUCUGUCUUAUUGACUAUUAGUAUAUCCUGCAGAUGUAAUAAAAUGACUACAAACUGA